UACGGAAGGCAGCAGUGGGGAAUAUUGCACAAUGGGCGAAAGCCUGAUGCAGCUAUGCCGCGUGUAUGAAGAAGGCCUUAGGGUUGUAAAGUACUUUUCAUCGGGGAGGAAAAAACAAAACUAAUAAUUUUAUUUCUUGACGUUACCCGAAAAAGAAGCACCGGCUAACUCCGUGCCAGCAGCCGCGGUAAUACGGAGGGGUGCUAGCGUUAAUCAGAAUUACUGGGCGUAAAGAGCACGUAGGUGGUUUUUUUAAGUUCAGAUGUGAAAUCCCUGGGCUUAACCUAGGAACUUGCAUUUUGAAACUGAAAUACUAGAGUAUCGUAGAGGGAGGUAGAAUUCUAGGUGUAGCGGUGAAAUGCGUAGAUAUCUGGAGGAAUACCUGUGGCGAAGUCGGCCUCCUAACGAAUACUGACACUGAGGGU
rnacentral:rRNA from 1 species